AGAAAAGUAAACUAAAAUUAAGUUAGUAGGUUCAUACCCUAAACAUAGAAUUUAUUCUCUUUUCUA
rnacentral:tRNA from 1 species